CAACAUUGUUGAUGUCAGCGUUGAAGAAUUUCUUGAUCUGGUCACUGUAGUCUCUCUCUACCUCAAAAGUUAGGCGGACGAAGAGGGCGGUGCUCUGGUCAAAUUUCAAUGAUCCAUCUUGUGUGAUGUUCCCUUGGAGGUGUUGGAAGAGUUCUGGAAUUAUGUCUGGCUGGUUCACCCGAUCUAGGUGGGCCAGGUUGAGCCCCUUCACUAUCUGGUUUCGUGUGGGACCCUGUGCUGCCAUGGAGAGGGUGGCAAAAGCUGUGGAUAUGCUCAGGGGGAAAUGGUGACCUCUUACAAGACCCAAGUGAAAGAAGACAAGAGACUAUGAUGGUCUUUAUCAAACCAAUGGUCCCAUGUAGCACUCCCAUACUGAAGGCUAGAGGAUUAUCCUAGAUUGUUGAGGUGAAGUGGGCUGAGCCAGCUGUUGGGACUGUCUACAUGGUAAACAGAGUGGAUUUACAGCCUUACCCUGCAUGCUGAGCUGUAUUGCCCUGCGAAGGUCAGCCUCUUCAUCCUCCACCUCCAUGUCCUGUCUACUCAGGGCCAGGGCCUUCCUCAGCUCCUCCUCAUCCUCUUCCACCACCCCCUCUUCCACGCCAGGGCCUGUCUUCAGCACACUACCCUGCCCUGAUGAUCUGCUACUCAGAGUGAAAAUAAUUGUGGGGGUUAAUUCUCUCCCCUUAGCAAAUAUAAAUUACUUGAGAUGUUUGAGAUGUUACAAAAUCUGACAGUAUGGGGGAAUGGUGGUCAUUUGUGAUCUGGAGCCUACUCUUUCUCUCUUACCCCAUGCCACUACUCAACUGAGCCUCGUUCUCUCCAAUCAGCUUUGGUCUCUCUUGCUGCUGCACCUUCAUGAUCCCCAGUAUCUGCUCUGCGUCACACCCUGGGAGAUUUCCUCGGAUCACAAAUAUGGAAUACCCUGCAAAAAGACAGGCCUUCUUUGACCAACUAGCAAAUCUGAGAAAUCAACAGCACAAUAAUAUAAACAAGGAAAAUCACAUAUGUCAGGUUGUUUUACCUUCUUGCUGUAACUGUGCAAGGAAGAGGGCUAGGUAUGUGUCUGAUAUCAGCUCUGGUCCAGUCAAUAAUGAAUUCAAAUUAAACCACUGCAAUGACAAAUAGGGUUAAAUCAUGAGACUAUAUCAUCUGUCCCAGAUGUCUGAAGUGAAAUCAAUUAUAAAUGAUAAAAGUGUAUUUAUUUUCAUCACAACUUAUACCUGUUGCCCAAGUUUUCGUAUUGUAAACCAGUGCUCCUUGUAGUUGCAUAUAAAUGACUUUUCAUUUCUGAAA